GAUGAACGCUGGCGGCGUGCCUAAUACAUGCAAGUCGAGCGAACGGACGAGAAGCUUGCUUCUCUGAUGUUAGCGGCGGACGGGUGAGUAACACGUGGAUAACCUACCUAUAAGACUGGGAUAACUUCGGGAAACCGUAGCUAAUACCGGAUAAUAUUUUGAACCGCAUGGUUCAAAAGUGAAAGACGGUCUUGCUGUCACUUAUAGAUGGAUCCGCGCUGCAUUAGCUAGUUGGUAAGGUAACGGCUUACCAAGGCAACGAUGCAUAGCCGACCUGAGAGGGUGAUAGGCCACACGAGAACUGAGACACGGUCCAGACUCCUACGGGAGGCAGCAGAAGGGAAUCUUCCGCAAUGGGCGAAAGCCUGACGGAGCAACGCCGCGUGAGUGAUGAAGGUCUUGGGAUCGUAAAACUCUGUUAUUAGGGAAGAACAUAUGUGUAAGUAACUGUGCACAUCUUGACGGUACCUAAUCAGAAAGCCACGGCUAACUACGUG
rnacentral:rRNA from 1 species